UACGGAGGGUGCAAACGUUGCUCGGAUUCAUUGGGCGUAAAGGGUGCGUAGGUGGCGCCGUAAGUCAGGUGUGAAAUCUCGGGGCUCAACCCCGAAACUGCACUUGAUACUGCGGUGCUCGAGUACUGGAGAGGAGAUUGGAAUUUACGGUGUAGCAGUGAAAUGCGUAGAUAUCGUAAGGAAGACCAGUGGCGAAGGCGGCUACCUGGCCCACUCUUGACGCUGAGGCGCGAAAGCAUGGGGAGCGAACAGG
rnacentral:rRNA from 1 species